rnacentral:rRNA from 1 species
AUGGCCGAAUCCUUCGUCCUCAACACCGGAGCAAGAAUACCGUCAGUUGGCCUCGGCACGGCGAAAACAGAGCCCGGGACCGUCGGGGAGGCCGUCUACGCUGCCAUCAAGGCUGGAUAUCGGCAUAUUGAUUGCGCUCCAGCGUACCGCAAUGAGAAGGAGAUUGGUUUGGCUCUGAAGAAACUGUUUGAGGAUUAUGUGGUUAAGCGUGAAGAUUUGUUUAUCUCUUCUAAGUUGUGGUCUGGUAAUCACGCCCCAGAAGAUGUGCCAGAGGGCAUUGACACUACUCUUGAAGAUUUGCAACUGGAGUACUUAGACCUGUUCCUUAUCCACGCUCCAGUCCGAACUAAUAAAGGAGCUGUCCGAACCGCUGAAAACUAUAUUACUCUUGAUGUCCCUGCUACAUGGGGGGCGAUGGAGAAGUUAUACGACUCCGGCAAGGCUCGUGCAAUCGGCGUGGGCAACUUUUCUUGUAAGAGGAUGGAGGAUUUGCUUGCCAUUGCUAGAGUAACUCCUGCUGUCAACCAGGUCGAGUCCCAUCCAGGUUGGCAGCAAAUGAAACUCCGCGAACUUUGCGAGUCAAAUGGUGUUCAUCUUUCUGUAAGUUUCGAACAUCACUAA